GACGAACGCUGGCGGCGUGCUUAAUACAUGCAAGUCGAACGGAAAGGCCCUGCUUUUGUGGGGUGCUCGAGUGGCGAACGGGUGAGUAACACGUGUGUAACCUGCCCUUGACGUAGGGAUAACUUCUGGAAACUGGGGCUCAUACCGGAUAGGAGCUCCUGCUGCAUGGUGGGGGUUGGAAAGUUUCGGCGGUUGGUGAUGGACUCGAGGCUUAGCAGCUUGUUGGUGGGCUAGUGGCUUACCAAGGCUUUGACUGGUAGCCAGCCUGAGAGGGUCACCGGCCACACUGGGACUGAGAUACGGCGCAGACUGCUAUGGGAGGCAGCAGGCGGGAAUACUGCACAACGGGCGGACGCCGGAUGCAGCAACGCCGCGUGCGGGAUGACGGCCUUCGGGUUAUAAACCGCUUUCGCCUGUGACGAAGAGGGAGUGACGGUAAUGGGUAAGGAAGCACCGGCUAACUACGUG
rnacentral:rRNA from 1 species